CAUGCAGGCAUGAGUAGCGAUAAUUGAGGUGAGAAUCCUCAACGCCGAAAACCCAAGGUUUCCUACGCGAUGCUCGUCAUCGUAGGGUUAGUCGGGUCCUAAGUCGAGUCCGAAAGGGGUAGACGAUGGCAAAUUGAUUAAUAUUUCAAUACCAACAUACAAGCGCGAUGUGGGGACGCAUAGAGUUAAUCGAGCUCACUGAUGGAAUAGUGGGUCGAAGGACGUAGGCUGUAACUUAGGCAAAUCCGGGUUACAUUAGGCCGAGAUCUUACAGGCUCUUGACACUCUUCGGAGGAGAUGGAGAAUCGAUGAUACUGUCGUGCCAAGAAAAGCCACUAAGUAUAUUGUAUGUUGCCCGUACCGUAAACCGACACAGG
rnacentral:rRNA from 1 species